ensembl:lncRNA
UGAAGGUCUGCUACAACCAUCUUUCUUUAAUCCACCAUGGCACUGCACAGACCUGCUUAAAAAGCUGCUGGGUAAGCUGCCCCUCAUCCUGCAACAAGCUGCUCUAGUAUUGCCCUGGCACCCAAAGCUUUGGGAUAGGCAUUGCAGCUGCAGUGCUACUGCUGCUCAGGUUACUUGGGAAAAGCCCAUACCUAUAGCCAGCCUAUGGAUGGCCCACAGAGAUCAUCCUGUGCCACAGGAAUUAGUGACCCCCUGGAGAACGUCUGCACUUGCUCCAGGCUCCAUUGCCCUUUCUCUUGCACUGGGCAGCUGAUCAACACUAGGUUGCUAAGGGUGGAGAGAUUGUUCUCAGCCUGUCUUCAUGUGGAAAGGUGCUGCUUUCAUCUUGGACUUGGACGGAGGGGUAUGUGUGUCUAACAGCCUCUUUUUUGCCUCCCAACCUGUAUCUGCUGGUUUAAUAGGAGGUGCUGCCUCUCUAGACCUUCUCAGCACUCUAACUUUUAUUGCAUUUGAAUGUCUCAAAGAAUCAAAGCACACAAGGUGUAUGAGAGGCCUGGCUGAGGGAAGGCACCUGUGUGUGUCCUUCUUGUCUAGCAUGCUGUGUUGAGAGGUGCAGAAAUGCCUGUCGAUAUCUCCACUGCAGACAUUGCAAAAGCUUCGUCCCACCUGGAAGAUCAAUUUGAAAUGGAUCCUGUGGCAUGCCAGGUGCUGUCCAGAGAGCUUGACAGUGGAGGAAACAGUGAAAGAAUGGCGACUGUGGUACCAUUGAUCAAGCCAGUGUGUCUGUUCUUGGUAGAGCGGCUAAUAAGGCCACCGGUGCAGUGAGAACGUAAACCCCAGAGAAAGAGUCAGCAGGGAAAGAGAGACCAAUGCAGAGAGCAAGAUCUAAUAUGGACCUGAUAACCGACAAUGGGAUUUCAGCAGGAUACUUGAUUCCUCCCCCCCACCCCGAGGAUGCUUUCAGACCCAAGUCUGGUCACUUUGGGAAUGCGCAGAGUGGCUGGAUCUGGGACUGUACAAAUCCGAAAUAGAAGUUGGCAAUUACUCCAGAGAGAUCAUCGUCUGCCUCAAUACAGGAAACAAAUAGAUUGGCCAGCUGAGGCAAAGAAGGCAGUGGAUAACCCUGUUUCAAAGAAAUGCUCCACUUGGAAACUGCAGAAGAAGGCUCAUCAAUCUUUAUACAUCCAGAAUGGAAGCAGAUCGGCAGAGCAGAGCACCAGAGUCCUUCCCAUUCAGAAGUCCAUCGGCUACUAG